CCAGCUAUGAAGCAGGUCGUGGGCCCUCGCCAGACACUGAAUCUGCCAACACUGUGAUCUUGGAUUUCCUAGCCUGCAGAACUUCUUGAAAGAUGGGAAGAUCAGGAGCAGUCUGGAGUCAUGGUAUAUGAAUGAACUAGUGAGAGUGGGCACAAAGUCUGAAGAUCUUUGUGGUGCAGCUAAUGUCUAAGGGAGAAUAUACCUACCCUAGAAGAGACAUUAAACAACCAGGAAGCUUACUGCAGGAAAGAAAUCCCUCAGAGUCCUGAAGAUACAGCUUUCGGAACUUAGGUGAAGCAAGAGGACUCAAGGUGUGCAAGAAUGGACAGUACAGAAUGCUCUGCUACACUGCUCAGAUUCCCCCUUCAGGAAGGAAGGACAAAUUCACUCAACUUCUGGGAGCAUUGAUGGUUGAGCUCUCAGCCAUCAGAACUUUUUGGAAGUCGCCCUCUUCUGAAAAGAGGCACAUUGCCCAAGAUAUUUCCUCCUCCAGAGCGCAAGCUGCACCUGAAGACUGAUUGAUGUGGGGUAUGAUGGUCUGGUCUCCUUUCCCCAUCUAAAGGACUGUUGUAACCUCAGGGCUCUCCUUGAGGUUUCCUUAGUUCUUAUUACUAUGUUGCAGUCCAACUUCUUCUUUGGCCUAAUUCUACUUUCCUCCCAUUCCCCAGUUGUUGAUCCUGACAGCAAUUUCCCUCCACAUUUCUGUAAACUAAGCAUGAUCUCAGAGUCACCUGACCUGCAACAUUAUUACAUACACUAUAGUCUGUGCUCUUAAAGAUUUAGUGAAAGCAUGCUGCUGAAGCUUGCCAGAACUUCCCUUCUUCCACUGAAAAUUUGUCUGUUCAUAGAUAUACACCAUUUGUUCUCUUCUCUACUUUGGCCAAUUAUCUUAUGUUUGGGAAGGUGUUCUGCUAGAAGACAAAAUAGCAGUUCUUAGAACUAGAAAGAAAAACACAUCAAAGUCUGUCCUUUCUUAUGUUCUAUCUACAACAAAUAACCCUGUGAUAAAAAGGAUGAUAGGAAAUAUAAGUAGUUUGAGUCCACCAAAUAUUUGGUUGAAGUAUUUGGGUAUGAAAUACAAACUCACUCGAUCUGGGCUCAAAUUCACCAGCAUUUCUUUUCUUUCUUCUCUUUUCAGAAACAGACUUUAUUUAUAUCAAUGUUAACAUCAAUCACAUAACCAUCAGGAAGGCUAUAACUUUGACUUUUUUUGUCCAAUAGUUGGGCCAAGUUUUCAUUUCUCUUAUUUUACUUUUUAUUAUUAUUUUUUUGAGAUGGAGUCUUACUCUGUCACCCAGGCUGCAGUGCAAUGGCGUCAUCUCAGCUCACUGCAACCUCCGCCUCCUGGGUUCCAACGAUUCUCCUGCCUCAGCCUCCUGAGAAGCUGGGAUUACAAGUGCAUGCCACCACACCCGGCUAAUAUUUGUACUUUCAGUAGAGACUGGGUUUCACCACGUUGGUCAGGCUUGUCCCAAACUCCUGACCUUGCGAUCCACCUGCCUUGGCCUCCCAAAGUGCUGAGAUUACAGGUGUGAGCCACCGUGCCCGGACCAUUUCUUUUCUUAUAUAUCAGCCUAUGCCAGGGGAGAAACUGGCUGAGGUUAAAGGCUAAUGUCAAGUACUAACUGAGCAACAAAUGGAUAACCUCAACAAUGCAAUAUCCUGGUUGAAAUUGUUAGUGAAUUUUUUUGGCAGACCUGAGAUCUAUGUAUCUCCAUUCAACAAGUAAAGGUAGGCUAUUUCCUUAAAUGCAAAUUCCUAUAAAAAAUAUCAGAAGUAUAUUAUGUAUUGAAAGUUAAAAAGCAUAUAACUUUUUAAAUGUUUAAUAAAAUUCACCAGUGUACACCAUCAUUUUCAUUGAGAAAAGUUCCUAAUCAUGAAUUCUAUUUACUUAAUAAUAUUAUUCAAUAUUUUUCUUUCAUUUUUGUUAAUUUGAUUUGUUAUGGCUUCUCAAAAAAGCUUGUCCUUUUCAUCUAAUUUGUUCAAUUUAUUUUCAUGAAACUGUUCACAUACUUAAUCUUUCAUUCCUUGUUAUGUAACCAGAUUUCCAUCCGGUACCGUUUACUCCGAGCCAAAGAACCAGAAGCCAAAAGAACUUCCUGUAGCAUUUCCUGAAAUACAUACCUGCUGAUUAACACUUUUCUACGUUGACAAGUUAUAUAGUUGUCUUUCAUUUAGUUUAAAGAUGUUGUUCCAUUGUCUUCUGAUUUUCAUUGUUUCUGAUGAGAGGUCAGCUUUGUUUCUUAUUAUUGGUCCUCUGCAUUUAAUGUGUAAUAUGUCUUUUCUUCUCUUGCUUUUCAAAUGUUCUGUUUAAUUCUGAUUUUCAGCAGUUUAAUAUAAUGUCCAUUGCUUGUUUUUUGCUUAGAUUCCUGAAAUUAUGUGUGGGUUUUUAAAUAAAGUUUGAAAAUUUCUAA